rnacentral:lncRNA from 1 species
CUUAAUUAUGUAUUGAAUAUUCAAAAAAGAAUAGGAAAAAAUUCAAUAUUUAGUAGUCAUUAAAAGGAGAGUCAAUUAAUUAUUGGUUGGAAUUUUCAAAGUGUAGGGAUGCCAUAGUGAAUUUGACUUGUUACUUACUAAGAAAAAGAAGAGAGGGGAGAUAGGAAAGAGAAGAGUAGGCAUCUAUUCUUCAUUCUGAUCCGUCUUCUUUUAUCAUAAAUGGGAUCGGUGCAGUUAAGUUUAUAUAGUUUUUUUAUUAUUGUGUUUAUGCUUUCUGUAUCUUUUGAUAAUUUAGAUUUUUUAAUUUUAUCAUCUGAAUUUUAUUUUGGUGGUAGCAUUUAACAGCAGGAAGAAUGGUGAUUUUUUUCUGCGUCGGAGUUCAUUUUGCCUCUUUAAAAUUAUCCCAUCACUAUUACAAAUUGAAAAGAUCAUGGGCCAGUGUUUCUCUUUCGAUACUUAUUUGAUGAUAGUUUUAUUAUCUUCGAUGGAGAUUGGUUGACUUUUGGUGGCUUUCUUUAAUUGAAAUAUUUUUUUAGGAUGUUUUCGUCUCCUUUACUUAUAAUUUUCUUUAUUUUCGUUUAUAUAUAAUAAAUUUUUAGCAUAUUUUAUCUCUUUUAAUUGUUCGUUGAGUCGUCAUAAUUUAUACAAUGGUGUUGGUGUUUCUUUUUCUUAUAGCUUCCUGUCAAUAUAACAGUACAGUCGGCUGAGAUGCUGUUAGUGGAAUUGUGGAUGAUAAUAUCUUUAUUUUUAAUUUCUGUUUUAUGAGUUUUAUUUUGUGGAUUGAAUUUAGAGCAUUUAUUUUGUGAUUUUUUUUUGAUAAGAUGUACUUGUACUACCCAUUUAGAUCAAGAUGAAAUGCACAAUUUUUACAUUGGUAAAAAAAAAAAAAAAAACUUGCUACUUACCCCUUUCAUUUUCAAUUCUCAAUCUUCUUGUCGGUUUCCGAUCACUGAAUUAAUAUUUUGUCUAAAAAAAUUAGUACACUUCUUCAAAUUCUCAAAUUUCCACAAGGGUAUGUCAUGUUUAUACGUACAAUUACAAGAUCUAGCUAAGGUUAAUAAUUUCUACAAUUUACUGUAAUUGAAGGACAAUAAGCAAUUAAUUAGAUUUAUAAAUUAAGUUAAACUCACAUCGAGAGCCAUUUGAUGGUUAUAUAAUUCCUUUUUUUUUUUUCUAAUUCUAAAUUGAAAAGUUGGAAAUAUUAAAAUUUAAAUUUAAAUAUAUUAAAUGAGUGAUUUAUCUU